GUUCGCCCUUGUCGAGUGGAAAGAAGAAACGGAUAAUGAAAGCUGGAGCAUUGUUCCAACAUCACACAUAAAAAACUUCGAUAAUAAUGAUUUCUUAGACGGACUGGAUGACACAUCUGUAUAUUUAAUUGAGUGGAGAGGAGGACUGAAGAAAAAACCUAAAGGCGGAUGGCCUUUGUACGAGGCAACGGUGCAUAAAAUUGCAGAGAGACAGUGCACCCUAGAAAAACUAAUGAGGACACAACGUCAGUCCAGUCCAAACCGUCUGAGCAAAAGAAAAUGCAGGCCAAACCCUAAGUUUGUUGAAGAGGAGACCAGUAAUGAUGGACCAUCUAGCCCCAAAAAGAGGCAAACUAGUGAUGGAAAUUUGGACAGGGAGCGUUACACCAUGGACCUCGAUUCCCUUCAGCUACAACUUCAGUUGUUCCACCUUUACCUACGUCACCAUCUUCUGCCUCACCACUGCUGCCUAACUGUCUACCUUCACCUGCCUCAUCAUCGUCUGCUUCACCUCCACCUACCUCACCUUCUUCUGAUCCUCCUUUGCCAGACAUCAUAGCACAAUUAAAGGCAGAAAUUGAAGCCCUCAAAAUGGAAUUAGAGAAUCUAAAAACA